UACGGAGAAAGAACUAACAGGAUUCCCCUAGUAACUGCGAGUGAAGCGGGAAAAGCUCAAAUUUAAAAUCUGACGUGUCUUUGACCGUCCGAGUUGUAAUCUGGAGAAGUGUUUUCUGUGUUGGACCGUGUACAAGUCCCUUGGAAUAGGGCGUCAUAGAGGGUGAGAAUCCCGUCUUUGACACGGACUACCAAUGCUCUGNGAUACGCUCUCAAAGAGUCGAGUUGUUUGGGAAUGCAGCUCAAAAUGGGUGGUAAAUUCCAUCUAAAGCUAAAUAUUGGCGAGAGACCGAUAGCGAACAAGUACCGUGAGGGAAAGAUGAAAAGCACUUUGGAAAGAGAGUUAAACAGUACGUGAAAUUGUUGAAAGGGAAACGCUUGAAGUCAGUCGCGUCGUCCGGGACUCAGCCUUGCUUUUGCUCGGUGUACUUCCUGGUUGACGGGUCAACAUCGAUUUUGGUUGGCGGACAAUGGUGGGGGGAAUGUGGCACCUUUGGGUGUGUUAUAGCCUCCCGUCGGACGCGUCGACUGGGAUCGAGGACCGCAGCACGCCUUUUUGGCCGGGGUUCGCCCACGUAACGUGCUUAGGAUGUUGGCAUAAUGGCUUUAAGCGACCCGUCUUGAAACACGGACCAAGGAGUCUAACAUGCCUGCGAGUGUUAGGGUGGCAAACCCUUGCGCGCAAUGAAAGUGAAAGUUGGGACCUCUGUCAUGGGGGGCACCGACGCCCGGCCUUGAACUUCUGUGACGGUGCCGCGGUGGAGCAUGCAUGUUGGGACCCGAAAGAUGGUGAACUAUGCCUGAAUAGGGCGAAGCCAGAGGAAACUCUGGUGGAGGCUCGUAGCGAUUCUGACGUGCAAAUCGAUCGUCAAAUUUGGGUAUAGGGGCGAAAGACUAAUCGAACCAUCUAGUAGCUGGUUCCUGCCGAAGUUUCCCUCAGGAUAGCAGAAACUCGUAUCAGAUUUAUGUGGUAAAGCGAAUGAUUAGAGGCCUUGGGGUUGAAACAACCUUAACCUAUUCUCAAACUUUAAAUAUGUAAGAACAAGCCGUCUCUUAGUUGGACCGCUUGGCGAUUGAGAGUUUCUAGUGGGCCAUUUUUGGUAAGCAGAACUGGCGAUGCGGGAUGAACCGAACGCGAGGUUAAGGUGCCGGAAUGCACGCUCAUCAGACACCACAAAA
rnacentral:rRNA from 1 species